rnacentral:misc_RNA from 1 species
UAAUCUCACCAUCUGACUCUUUGUCAGCAUGUUGUGGAUUUGGAUGCUGCCGUGUCUCGACGGCUCGUCUGAAAUGCCUGAGUACAUCCUGGGUUGCGAUGUGUUCGGUGUGAUAAGUUUUCACCGUCAUUGACCCCAGUGGUCACACUUUGCUUGACCGAGGCUCUGUGCUUCCAACCGUCUGGAUUCAGACAACUUUUGACA